rnacentral:tRNA from 1 species
CGGGGUAUAGCUCAGUCUGGUAGAGCACUCGGCUGGGGGCCGAGCGGUCGGCGGUUCGAAUCCGUCUACCCCGACCA